rnacentral:rRNA from 1 species
AAACCGUUCAGGGGUAAACCCGAGAGACCCGAAAGAUUCGAACGGGGAGAUUCAUCGUCGGCGUAGCCGGCUUCGCCGCGGUCGGCGAUGCCCCGUCGGUCGGCCGCCUCGUCGCGGCCACGGCGCGGGCACGCCACCGCGCGCCGAUGUCCGGCGCCGCGCCGUCGUGCACUUCUCCCCUAGUAGGACGUCGCGACCCGCUGGGUGUCGGUCUACGGCCCGGGGCUCGAGGCGACUGUCGCCCGUGGGGCGCGCGCGGUUCACGCCGCGCCGCUCGCGCGCGGCAGACUCCCGGUCUUGCCCGGCCGACCGCCCGGCGGUACGAGCAGUGAGGUAUCAGGCCGCGCGCCCUCCGCCCGCCGGAGGGCCGCGCGCGUCGAGCCCGUCGCAAGCGGAAUCAAGCCACGGUACCCGGUGGUAGCACGGACCUAGCGCCGUCCCCGGUCCUGGCCCGCUGCUGGCUAGCACGGUGCAACCUUCGACAGGCCUGCGAGCGAGCGCGCGCGCGCGCGCGCGGGGGACCCGCGAGGGUCUUCCGUGUGCCGCGCCGCGAGCGCGAUACCGGUCGGCGACGCUACUGCUUCGGGUACUCUCGGGA